CGAGUUAGUUCUUACUUCCUUUUAUUAGAGGUCUUUGUUCUUAUUUUAUCACGCCUUAUUUGAUUCAUGUUUAUUUUCUUGUCAUUGUUGCUGCGCGCGUGAAAAACAAUAUUUCUUUUUAGCUCAGAAAAUCGAGUCAACGUCGAUGUUUGAAAUUGUUUUUAGUUCAGUGUGCGGCCUACUUUCAAACUGCCAUGUUCUUUAUUUUCAUCUCUCAAUAUAAUUUUAUCAUAUUUUAUCUAUUUGUCUCGGCCGCCACAUUGGUGACCCCGACGUGAUCUGAAUUUAACUUUUAAACAGUAAAUUAUUGCUCUUCAAGAUUGUAUAUAUACCUGCACAUUCAAAGAAGACUUUAAAAGAAGAACGAGGAAGAAACAGAUCAAGUAAUCGAAAACGAAAACGAGAUGCAUCUGCCAUCUACUACGUUACUCACACAAGAAAGACAACCGACCAGACGAUCACCUGAAGAAUCGCCGGUGGUUUCGGGCCGCGCCGCACCCAUGCCGCGCCGCCUCCCUCCGCACCGACUGAUACCAGCGCACCGACCUCAAGCUCGCUUCUCCCAAGAGCGGCUCCGCUGACUUGUGGCCUAACCAAGGUGGAUCCAGGCCGCGCUGAGCCACGCCGCCUGCUCCACCGCGGUGCUUCUUAUCUUCGUACCUACCUACCUACAUACCCAAGCGUUCGUCAACGACAUGAACCUAUACGUCGCCGCGAACGCAGAACGCAAGUCAGCGAGUCGCAAGCCGCCGUCGCCGGAGUUUCCGGGAUGCGCCGUUUCAUCGCCGCUCCCGUCCGACGCGGCACGCGCUGUGUCGCCAGUCACCAAGAGCCGGUCUACGCCUAUUCUGUCUGAGAACUUGUGAUCGAUUUUUUUAGCAAGAUAAUUUACUAUACCUACUUACUAGCUCCGCUCUAGGGCGGGGAGUGUUGUGGCGAGUUAGUUCUUACUUCCUUUUAUUAGAGGUCUUUGUUCUUAUUUUAUCACGCCUUAUUUGAUUCAUGUUUAUUUUCUUGUCAUUGUUGCUGCGCGCGUGAAAAACAAUAUUUCUUUUUAGCUCAGAAAACCGAGUCAACGUCGAUGCUAGAAAUUGUUUUAGUUCAGAGUGUGCGGCCUACUUUCAAACUGUCAUGUUCUUUAUUUUCGUCUCUCAAUAUAAUUUUAUCAUAUUUUUAUCGA